rnacentral:tRNA from 1 species
GCUAGCGUAGCUUAAUGCAAAGCAUAGCACUGAAGAUGCUAAGAUGGGUCCUAAGAAACCCCGUAUGCA